rnacentral:rRNA from 1 species
GCUUGUCUCAAAGAUUAAGCCAUGCAUGUCUAAGUAUAAGCACUUAUACCGUGAAACUGCGAAUGGCUCAUUAUAUCAGUUAUAGUUUAUUUGAUAGUCCCUACUACAUGGAUAACCGUAGUAAUUCUAGAGCUAAUACAUGCACAAAAUCCUGACUGCUUGCGGAAAGGAUGUAUUUAUUAGAUACAACCAACCCUUCGGGUCCCUGGUGAAUCAUAAUAACUUAGCGAACCGCAUGCUUCGGCGGCGGUGAUUCAUUCAAGUUUCUGCCCUAUCAGCUUUCGAUGGUAGGGUAUUGGCCUACCAUGGCGUUAACGGGUAACGGAGAAUUAGGGUUCGAUUCCGGAGAGGGAGCCUGAGAGAUGGCUACCACAUCCAAGGAAGGCAGCAGG